rnacentral:lncRNA from 1 species
AAAUAUAGUACCAAAAGUCAACCGAAACAAUACUCUAAUCCUAAGCAUCAGCCAUUUUCCAAUUAAAGAUGCCUUAGUAGGAUACAAAGGACAAACGAAUGUGAAAAAUUAAAACCUAAAAUUAACAAUAGUGUGCCAAGAUCCAGCUGAUAAUAUUCUACGCCACAACGAAUCCCAUAAAAGUUAGUACCAAUUUCGAUCCUCUAGUUCAUAAGAAAAAGGGAAAAGCUAUAAGCACAAAUGGCUGAACACUCUCUUUUAAUAACUACUAUCUGUUUUAUACCUUGACACCAACAAAUGAAUAUAACAGUUCUAUCUCAAUUUUUGCAUCCAACGGGUUGGUGAAUUAGCUCAAACGAACAAAAAAAACAAUUUCAAUUAAGAGUAGAGAUUCCUCCUCAAAAUAUCAUAAGCAACAAGAAUUCACAUAAAUCUUAACAUUGAACCAUGAUAUAAGAAAUACAUAGACAUGAAACAGAGGGCGAAUAUCAGGAACCUUCCAACCUCAACGAACUCAGAAUGACAUAUGACGAUCCCGAAAUAUUGUUCUACUUUUCUCGACUCCAAAUCACAAUCGAAACUCACCGGAAAAUUCAAACUAAACCAGAAGGAUCCAACGAACUCCCUAACAGUAGUUCAUGAUUCUGGAGUUGUUUCGGGCUAAUUCACAUUGCUUUGAUGGAGGUUUCGAUGUAAUUUUCACUGGAUUUUGUGAAGGAAUUUCUGCAACAACAUGAGCUUUAGUUAUAGCGGUUUCAUGGUGGUUUUGAUGCUAGAUUUAUGGAUGAUUCACGGCUAAUUUAGGGCUGGAUUCGUGGUGGAGAUAAGGCGCUUGAUGGGUGUGUUGAGAGGUGAGAACGACUCUGUGUGAUUGGGUGUAAAUCAGAGGCUAAUGGUUGUUGCAGGUUUGGGAAUGGAGAAGCAGAAGUUUCAAGGAGGGGGGAAGCGCUUUCGUG